rnacentral:tRNA from 1 species
UGAGGAUUAGUAUAUUUAGUAUGUCUGACUGUUAAUCAGAUGGUUUUAUUCUCAG